rnacentral:lncRNA from 1 species
GGAGAUUUUGUUCAAGCCAUGGAUCACCUCUGGUUCGUGUUUGGUGGUGGAGGGAAGAUCUUAAUUACUAACCCUACGCAUUUCUCUUUUUUUCUUUCUUUCUUUUUUUUUUUUUUUCUGGUUUUGCUUUUGGCUGUCAGCUAAGUAGAGGAAGGGAAUGAAGACAUUUGGAGAAGAAGCGUUUACUGAAAGGAGAUUCCUGGGCUGGAGGAAAACCAUGAUCUACAGUUCAUGUUGACAGAUAUUGUAUUUUUGGUCCUAGAUCUGACUUUUGAAAUGACUUAUCACAAAUUCAAAUUUAGCAAUCAUGAGUGAAGUACCCACGAUGUGCUAAGCAUCUACCUCUGCAGAUAGAAGAACACUUACUGUUCCUGAGCAUGGGAGGGAAUAGAAGUUCCUGGGUCCUGGCCUCACCUCAUCAGGCACUGCCAAAUUUGACACCUCCUUCCUGUUCACGGCAGUCCUUUGCGAUAGGGUAUUAGAUGCCACCAAGUAGCUGCAUAACUCACCCAUUUGGUCAGAGCCUGGGUCUAAGCCAGGUCUGACAGACUCCAAAGCAAGCCCUGUUUACAGCAUGACUGGGAUCCAGUGGACGAGGGAACUGAGCUGUCAAAACUAAGUGACUUGAUUGAGGCCAUGCAGCUGGCGAGGGGAGGACCAGGAUCUGAACCCAACUGGGUCUCCCAAGCCUGGGCCACUGAACCAUUUCACCUCUUGGAAAAACUUAAUGGUCAGAGUGGCCCACCCAGUCCAUGGACAGCAUGGAGGAUAAACUGCUUCCCUAGAAAUCCUCUCCAGCAUUCUUGCCACCACGACUUUGGGACACAUUGACCAUGAGGAGGAGCUGGUCAAUGAUGGACAGGAGUCCAGAUUAGCAGAGAUGUGGUAAUAAGGACACCGAUGCCUAAAUACUUGAAAUAUCCAAUAGGAAGCAUUCCACCUUUGUGCAAAUGCGAACCACAUCUCACCAAGUUCAGGCCAAGGCUGCCACCGGUGACGUUUUGGAAAAGAAAAAAAAAAGCGGGGGGAGAGGAGAGAAACAGAGAAGCAAGGAAUGCAGAAGAGAGCAGAGGCCACAAAAACAGCAGCAACGUGUCCUGUGUAUUCUGUUUCCUUGUAAAACUAUGAAGCAUGUUAAGGAGAUACUUCAUUUUUUGAGGAUUCAUACUCUUGUUUAUAUUAUAAUAAAAACAACCCAUGUUCUUUCUAAAAAUUUAGGCAAUGCCUUCGUGCACAUAAAAGUAAAACAAAAUCACCUGUAAUCCUACCACACGCAGAUCAGCACUUGCUAAUCUUUUCACAGGGAUCCUAAGAAUAUCCUAUUCUCUAUAGAAUAUAGUUGAUUUAUGUUACCUAAUAACUAACUGUUAACCAUUUUAAAAUUCUUCAGUUUUACAUUAUGCUAGAAAAAAGGAGCCGUCACUCUACGUGACAUUUCUGUAUAUUGGUUUAUUCAUUCAAUAAACAUUUUUUAAGU